rnacentral:rRNA from 1 species
GACGAACGCUGGCGGCGUGCUUAACACAUGCAAGUCGAGCGGUAAGGCCCUUUUGGGGGUACACGAGCGGCGAACGGGUGAGUAACACGUGGGUGACCUGCCCUCAGCUCUGGGAUAAGCCUGGGAAACUGGGUCUAAUACUGGAUAUGACCUUUCCUCGCAUGGGGUUGGGUGGAAAGUUUUUCGGCUGGGGAUGGGCCCGCGGCCUAUCAGCUUGUUGGUGGGGUGAUGGCCUACCAAGGCGACGACGGGUAGCCGGCCUGAGAGGCGACCGGCCACACUGGACUGAGACACGGCCCAGACUCCUACGGGAGGCAGCAGUGGGGAAUAUUGCGCAAUGGGCGGAAGCCUGACGCAGCGACGCCGC